GUUAAUAAUCGAUAUCAAAAGCAUUAGGAGUUAACACUUACUAUAUAAAACUACAACAGAGAAUGACUCAACGACUAAUUGUUAUGUUAAAAAUAAAAUAUUGUAGACUACAGGCACAAAUCAUAACGUUAUCAAGUAAUCAAAAUAUUAUUCGAACGACGCUAUAGGUCGUCAAAACACUGCUCGUGUGUGCAUAUCCGCAAAUAGUGAGUAGGGGGGGCGAUAGUCCCGGCGUCCAAGCCACAAGCCGCCACUGCAUUGAGAUAUUAUUAAUAUUAAUAUUUUGUUAUUUUAUACCUCAAGAUUUUCUAAUGAAAACAAUAGUGAGUGGAAAUUUGUACAACGCUUAUCAUAGUUCUAGGUAAUAAUGGAUUUAUCUAAUUUUAAAAAUUCGACUAAUUUUUGACUUAUUUCAUUUGGAUCAUUUUCACUGGAAAUUAUAUUGUCUCUUAAUUUACAUAAACCAAACCUACAUUGAUUCUCUACUAAAUUAAAUGAAUUUAAAUGUAUUUAACAAUUAAUUAAAAUCUAAAGCUUCUAACUAUGGACAUUUACACUACCCUCGUCUGACUAUAAAAUCCCAUUUUUUCCUAUUUAAAUUAGUUCUUUUAGUAAUUUUAAAAUACACAAAAUAUGCAACAUUCUGCUCAGGGUUCUUACUCUAUGGGAUUUAGUUUUUUUUUUAUUUAAUUAGGACUUUUAAUAAUUCUUUUAAAAUUAAACUGAACUUGGAAUAAAUUUAAUGUAAAUUGUAUUUUGGUAUAUCUUUUAUUUUAAAUUUAUUUGUUUAUUAAAUAAUACAUUUUUUAUAUUUCUUAUCAUGGAAAUAAAUGUCAAUUAUAUCUUAUA